rnacentral:rRNA from 1 species
AACGAACGCUGGCGGCAGGCUUAACACAUGCAAGUCGAACGCCCCGCAAGGGGAGUGGCAGACGGGUGAGUAACGCGUGGGAAUCUACCCAGAUCUUCGGAACAACUGAGGGAAACUUCAGCUAAUACCGGAUACGCCCUACGGGGGAAAGAUUUAUCGGUUCUGGAUGAGCCCGCGUUGGAUUAGCUAGUUGGUGAGGUAACGGCUCACCAAGGCGACGAGCCAUAGCUGGUCUGAGAGGAUGAUCAGCCACACUGGGACUGAGACACGGCCCAGACUCCUACGGGAGGCAGCAGUGGGGAAUAUUGGACAAUGGGCGAAAGCCUGAUCCAGCCAUGCCGCGUGAGUGAUGAAGGCCUUAGGGUUGUAAAGCUCUUUCAGUAGGGAAGAUAAUGGCGGUACCUACAGAAGAAGCCCCGGCUAACUUCGUGCCAGCCGCCGCAGUAACAC